GGGAUAUAUCUUUUUUCCUUGGUAAGAAACAUGUAUUAUAUAUUACAUAUAUGAGUAAAUUAUACUUUGCACCUCAUAACUAUGAGAAUUGGUCUUAAACAAUUUUUCUUAGGAGAACACACCCCCUCGCUUCGUUUUGCAUCUUUUUGACCAUCUGCCGUUUGAGUGGACCGUAACGAUAACAGUGCCAAGGGUAUAUUAGUAAUAUCAAUUAAUUAUUUCCCUCUUUUUCACCUCCUUUCUUUCUCUUCUUUCACCGACGGUGAGGGAACCGUCAACAAACAACACCAACAAUCACCCUAACCUUCCACCACUACACAUCCCUGCUCAGAACCUUCACCAUGUCCCAUCCUGUUCGUCCGCUUCCUAUUUGCUAGGAACGCGGCCACACCGCCCCUUCAACCACCGGAAUCAGCGUCCACCCUGCUAACCUCCAAUCAACCCUUCCGACACAUCUCAGUAGUCAAGGCACAAUCAAUACACAUGCACACGAAUUACACAAAUAUUGAAAUCAAACACACAAAUCAUACAAAUAUCUCACUGAUUUCUAAUUUAGCAAAGGGGAUUAUGAGAUUUUGGGGGACGAUUGGAGGGGAAAAGGAAAAGAAAGAGGAUAAGAGGUGGGUGUAUUGUAUAUUAUGAUUGUGAUUGUAUAUACAUAUGUAUUGCUUCAACUUCUUGUGUAUUGGUUUGACCCGACGGUGGUCAACAAAGGUGAGUGUGUUUGCGGUGAUUGAAGUCGAAGACGGGGUACAGUGGUGCGCUAAUUACCACCGCAAGGAGGUUGUUUGAAAGGGGAUUAGGGAUAAGGAUGGAUCGAUGCCAAAAAGGAGAUGUAAAGGAGGGUGGCUGUGGUGUGUUGUAUAGAAUGGCGACGUUAGUGAUAAAACUACCGAUUGAAAAAUGCUGGUGUGUUGUAUAGAACGAUGAUGUUAGUGAUAAAAUUACGGAUUGACGGAGGCUGCAAUCAAGAGCCGGGGAGGACAACCACAUGAUGGCUGUGUACAACAGCCUAGCAGAAGAGAAUAAAUAGGGAGAGGGUGGGGGGUCGAGAGAGAGAAUGGGAUAUAUGGGGGGAGAGUGAUAGGGCGAAGAUGAGAUUGCCGGAAUUUCGGGUGGCAGUGGUGGUCAGAGACAAGUAAAUUAUACAAUUAACCCUCUUGUGUUAACGUUAACAAUCAUGUCCAGUGGCAGGUGCUCAAAAGGUGCAAACUUAGGCGAGAAUAAAACCUUGUAUUGUGUUUUGCGAAAAGAUAAAAUUGUUUAAGAGCAAAACACAGAAGCGCUUUAAGUUAUGUGGUGCAAAAUAUAAUUUACUGUACACAUAUUUAUUUAUGCAAAAGAAAAAAAUGGAGAGAAGAAGAAAAUGGAGGAACACCACAAAAUUUUCAAACUCAAAUCGACUGGCAAAUUCAUCACAAAUCAGUUCAAAAUGCUAGCAAUUUCG
rnacentral:lncRNA from 1 species